rnacentral:rRNA from 1 species
CCUACGGGAGGCAGCAGUGGGGAAUAUUGCACAAUGGGGGCAACCCUGAUGCAGCAACGCCGCGUGAGUGAAGAAGUAUUUCGGUAUGUAAAGCUCUUUCAGCAGGGAAGAAGAAAGACGGUACCUUACCAAGCAGCCCCGGCUAACUACGUGCCAGCAGCCGCGGUAAUACGUAGGGGGCAAGCGUUAUCCGGAUAUACUGGGUGUAAAGGGAGCGUAGGCGGGUGUGGAAGUCAGAAGUGAAAGCCCGUGGCUCAACCGCGGAACUGCUUUUGAAACUGUAUAGCUUGAGUACUGGAGAGGCAGGCGGAAUUCCUGGUGUAGCGGUGAAAUGCGUAGAUAUUAGGAGGAACACCAGUGGCGAAGGCGGCCUACUGGACAAAAACUGACGUUGAGGCACGAAAGCGUGGGGAGCAAACAGGAUUAGAUACCCCUGUAGUC